GGAUCCAUAGGGGGGAUAGCAAUCCAGCCUUAGGAAAAGAAAUCUGCCAUGGGCGGCUUGGAGAUUGGCAACUGUCCUAAUGACUUA
rnacentral:pre_miRNA from 1 species